AUAAAUGUGAACAAUAAAAACUUGUUUAUUUUUUUCCAGAUCCUUUCAACUACUACUGACUCAUUCACCAGGAAUCGCUGUGAAAAUAUUUUAUGAAGUCCUCUUAACAACUGUUGCUCUGCACUCACAUUCCUUCACCAAGAAUCUUUCCUGAAUCAUUUUACCAGGUUAUUUGAACUACCACUGCUCUGCACACUGACUCCUUCACCAGGAAUCUUUCCAGAAACAUUUUACGAGAUCCUUUCAACUACUGCUGCUCUGCACACUGACUCCUUCACCAGGAAUCUUUCCAGGAACAUUUUAGGGUAUAUUUCAGAUCUUGUCAAUCCAAAUAUUACUACCCUGA